rnacentral:rRNA from 1 species
ACGGAGGGAGCUAGCGUUGUUCGGAAAUACUGGGCGUAAAGCGCACGUAGGCGGCGCAGCAAGUCAGGGGUGAAAUCCCGGGGCUCAACCUCGGAACUGCCCUUGAAACUGCAGUGCUAGAAUCUUGGAGAGGAUGGUAGAAUUCCAGGUGUAGCGGUGAAAUGCGUAGAGAUCUGGAGGAAUACCGAUGGCGAAGGCAGCCAUCUGGCCUAACACUGACGCUGAGGUGCGAAAGCAUGGGGAGCAAACAGGA